rnacentral:rRNA from 1 species
GAUGAACGCUAGCGGCAGGCUUAACACAUGCAAGUCGAGGGGUAUAGUUCUUCGGAAUUAGAGACCGGCGCACGGGUGCGUAACGCGUAUGCAAUCUACCUUUCACAGAGGGAUAGCCCCAGAGAAAUUUGGAUUAAUACCUCAUAGUAUAGCAGUUUCGCAUGAAACCACUAUUAAAGUCACAACGGUGAAAGAUGAGCAUGCGUCCCAUUAGCUAGUUGGUAAGGUAACGGCUUACCAAGGCAACGAUGGGUAGGGGUCCUGAGAGGGAGAUCCCCCACACUGGUACUGAGACACGGACCAGACUCCUACGGGAGGCAGCAGUGAGGAAUAUUGGACAAUGGGCGCAAGCCUGAUCCAGCCAUGCCGCGUGCAGGAUGACGGUCCUAUGGAUUGUAAACUGCUUUUUANACAGGAAGAAACACUACUUCGUGAAGUAGCUUGACGGUACUGUAAGAAUAAGGAUCGGCUAAACUCCGUGCCAGCAGCCG